rnacentral:lncRNA from 1 species
CACACACACACAUUACACACACCCCACAUACACACACACACACACAUUACACACACACCCAUACACACACACAUUACACACACACCCAUACACACACACAUUACACACACACAUUACACACACACAUACAUACACACACAUAUUACACACACACACAUACACACACAAACAAACACACACAUUCCACACACACACGUACACACACACACAUAUUACACACACAAACACAC